AGCGAACGCUGGCGGCAUGCUAAACACAUGCAAGUCGCACGAACCUUUCGGGGUUAGUGGCGGACGGGUGAGUAACGCGUAGGAAUCUGUCCACGGGUGGGGGAUAACUCUGGGAAACUGGAGCUAAUACCGCAUGAUACCUGAGGGUCAAAGGCGCAAGUCGCCUGUGGAGGAGCCUGCGUUCGAUUAGGUAGUUGGUGGGGUAAAGGCCUGCCAAGGCGAUGAUCGAUAGCUGGUUUGAGAGGAUGAACAGCCACCCUGGGACUGAGACACGGCCCAGACUCCUACGGGAGGCAGCAGUGGGGAAUAUUGGACAAUGGGGGCAACCCUGAUCCAGCAAUGCCGCGUGUGUGAAGAAGGUCUUCGGAUUGUAAAGCACUUUCGACGGGGACGAUGAUGACGGUACCCGUAGAAGAAGCCCCGGCUAACUUCGUGCCAGCAGCCGCGGUAA
rnacentral:rRNA from 1 species